rnacentral:rRNA from 1 species
UGGGGAAUAUUGCACAAUGGGCGAAAGCCUGAUGCAGCAACGCCGCGUGAGUGAUGAAGGCCUUCGGGUUGUAAAGCUCUGUCUUUUGGGACGAUAAUGACGGUACCAAAGGAGGAAGCCACGGCUAACUACGUGCCAGCAGCCGCGGUAAUACGUAGGUGGCAAGCGUUGUCCGGAUUUACUGGGCGUAAAGGAUGCGUAGGCGGAUUUUUAAGUGAGAUGUGAAAACCCUAAGCUUAACUUGGGGACUGCAUUUCAUACUGGAAAUCUAGAGUGCGGGAGAGGAGAAUGGAAUUCCUAGUGUAGCGGUGAAAUGCGUAGAGAUUAGGAAGAACACCAGUGGCGAAGGCGAUUCUCUGGACCGUAACUGACGCUGAGGCAUGAAAGCGUGGGUAGCAAACAGGAUUAGAUACCCUGGUAGUCCACGCCGUAAACGAUGAGUACUAGGUGUAGGAGGUAUCGACCCCCUUCUGUGCCGCAGUUAACACAAUAAGUACUCCGCCUGGGAAGUACGAUCGCAAGAUUAAAACUC